rnacentral:lncRNA from 1 species
AAUCAAGCUUCUUACAAAGUGAUUCAUCCUGGUUUGAUUGGAACGACACAGAAGCUGUCAUAUUCCCAAACUGCAAAACUGGAAUCACCUGAUUUGAAAGUGGGAUAACUUCUUCAACCAAGCUCCUAGGAGAUUUAUUCAACUUCCUGGUUAAUCUCCACCACUUUAUGUAUCCAAAUCAAGCUUCUUACAAAGUGAUUCAUCCUGGUUUGAUUGGAACGACACAGAAGCUGUCCUAUUCCCAAACUGCAAAACUGGAAUCACCUGAUUUGAAAGUGGGAUAACUUCUUCAUCCCAGCUCCUAUGAGAUUUAUUCAACUUCCUGGUGAUUCUACACCACUUUAUGUAUCCAAAUCAAGCUUCUUACAAAGUGAUUCCUCCUGGUUUGAUUGGAACGACACAGAAGCUGUCCUAUUCCCAAACUGCAAAACUGGAAUCACCUGAUUUGAAAGUGGGAUAACUUCUUCAUCCCAGC